UUUUAGCAGUGUAUGUGUGUGUGUGUAAUAGAAAACAAAAGUGCUUUUUUUUCCCUUCCAAAGUGUGUUGCCUAUCAAUAAUCUAUAAAUUUCAUCUGAUUUGAUUCAAUAUUGGAAAUCAUCAUUAAAAUAACCACUCAAUGUUUUGUACUUUUGAUAAUUAAUCAAUUUAGCGAAAAAUAAAUAAUAAAAACAACCGUUUUGAUUGUUUUGUUUGUCAUUUGAUCACUGACUGGUUGCUGUUUCAUGUUCAUCAUUGAUCGCGCGCGCACACACACACACACGAUGAAAUUAAUCGCCUGUCUAGGAUUAUUUUUGGCCACAAUGAUGAUCAUCGAAUCGACGACGGCCAAACCGAUUCCUGAAACCAACUACGACUCACUACUACCGGAAUCACCUUUAGCUGGUGAU